GCGACCCCAGGACGGGCGAGGCCACCCGCCGAGUUUAA
rnacentral:rRNA from 2 species